AUUGAACGCUAGCGGGAUGCCUUACACAUGCAAGUCGAACGGAGUGGCGAACGGGUGAGUAAUGUAUCGGAACGUGCCCAGUAGCGGGGGAUAACUACGCGACAGCGUAGCUAAUCCCGCAUACUAUUUGAGGGGCCGAUAUCGGAUUAGCUAGUUGGUGGGGUAACGGCUUACCAAGGCGACGAUCCGUAGCUGGUUUGAGAGGACGACCAGCCACACUGGGACUGAGACACGGCCCAGACUCCUACGGGAGGCAGCAGUGGGGAAUUUUGGGCAAUGGGGGAAACCCUGAUCCAGCCAUCCCGCGUGCGCGAUGAAGGCCUUCGGGUUGUAAAGCACUUUUGGCAGGAAAGCGGUACCUGCAGAAUAAGCACCGGCUAACUACGUGCCAGCAGCCGCGGUAAUUC
rnacentral:rRNA from 1 species